GUGCCAGCAGCCGCGGUAAGACAGAGGUGCCAAGCGUUAGGCGGAAUCACUGGGCUUAAAGCGUGUGUAGGCGGAUCGUUAAGUGCCUUGUGAAAUCCCCCGGCUCAACCGGGGAAUGGCUGGGCAUACUGGCGGUCUUGAGCCAUCUAGGGGCAGCUGGAACAAACGGUGGAGCGGUGAAAUGCGUAGAUAUCGUUUGGAACGCCCAAGGUGAAAACAGGCUGCUGGGGAUGAGCUGACGCUGAGACACGAAAGCCAGGGGAGCAAACGGGAUUAGAUACCCGCGUAGUCC
rnacentral:rRNA from 1 species